rnacentral:rRNA from 1 species
CCCUUAGAUGUUCUGGGCCGCACGCGCGCUACACUGACGAUGGCAACGAGUUUUUCCUUCGCCGAAAGGUGUGGGUAAUCUUUUGAAACAUCGUCGUGCUGGGGAUAGAUCAUUGCAAUUUUUGAUCUUGAACGAGGAAUUCCUAGUAAGCGCGAGUCAUCAGCUCGCGUUGAUUACGUCCCUGCCCUUUGUACACACCGCCCGUCGCUACUACCGAUUGAAUGGUUUAGUGAGGACUCCUGAUUGGCGCCGCCGCCCCGGCAACGGAGCAGCGGACUGCCGAAAAGUUGUUCAAACUUGAUCAUUUAGAGGGAGUAAAAGUCGUAACA